rnacentral:rRNA from 1 species
UAAGGAAUAUUGGGCAAUGGACGCAAGUCUGACCCAGCCAUCCCGCGUGCAGGACGAAUGCCCUAUGGGUUGUAAACUGCUUUUGUUUGGGAAGAAAUGUAUUCUUUUAAGAGUAUUUGACGGUACCAGACGAAUAAGCACCGGCUAACUCCGUGCCAGCAGCCGCGGUAAUACGGAGGGUGCAAGCGUUAUCCGGAAUCACUGGGUUUAAAGGGUGCGUAGGCGGCCAUAUAAGGCAGAGGUGAAAGU